rnacentral:rRNA from 1 species
GUGGGGAAUAUUGGACAAUGGGCGAAAGCCUGAUCCAGCCAUGCCGCGUGUGUGAAGAAGGUCUUCGGAUUGUAAAGCACUUUAAGUUGGGAGGAAGGGCAGUAAGUUAAUACCUUGCUGUUUUGACGUUACCGACAGAAUAAGCACCGGCUAACUUCGUGCCAGCAGCCGCGGUAAUACGAAGGGUGCAAGCGUUAAUCGGAAUUACUGGGCGUAAAGCGCGCGUAGGUGGUUUUGUAAGUUGGAAGUGAAAUCCCCGGGCUCAACCUGGGAACUGCCUCCAAAACUGCAUGACUAGAGUACGGUAGAGGGUAGUGGAAUUUCCUGUGUAGCGGUGAAAUGCGUAGAUAUAGGAAGGAACACCAGUGGCGAAGGCGACUACCUGGACUGAUACUGACACUGAGGUGCGAAAGCGUGGGGAGCAAACAGGAUUAGAAACCCCGGUAGUCC